AACGAACGCUGGCGGCAGGCCUAAUACAUGCAAGUCGAACGGAUGUAGCAAUACAUUAGUGGCGCACGGGUGCCUAACGCGUGGGAACAUACCCUUGAGUAAGGAAUAAUGUCUGGAAACGGACACUAAUACCUUAUAAUGACUUCGGUCCAAAGAUUUAUCGCUCAAGGAUUGGCCCGCGUCUGAUUAGCUAGUUGGUGAGGUAACGGCUCACCAAGGCGACGAUCAGUAGCUGGCCUGAGAGGAUGAUCGGCCACACUGGGACUGAGACACGGCCCAGACUCCUACGGGAGGCAGCAGUAAGGAAUAUUGGACAAUGGAGGAAACUCUGAUCCAGCCAUGCCGCGUGAGUGAAGAAGGCCUUAGGGUUGUAAAGCUCUUUCAAUGGUGAAGAUAAUGACGGUAGCCAUAGAAGAAGCCCCGGCUAAAUUCGUGCCAGCCGCCGCGGUAA
rnacentral:rRNA from 1 species